GACAGUCCAAUUAACAGUUCAAUUGUUACGUUCGUUCAGUGCAUUCAGUGUUUGAAGUAAACAUUUUAAAAGACCAAUUCAAAUUCAAAAUGAAAUUCUCGUUGAUAUUUUUUGUUAUUGCAAUCAUCGCAAUGAGCGCAUUUAAUUUCCAAUCUGCCGAAGCGUGCAGCAACGUAGGAGAGCCUUGCAGAAGCCGUGGCGGAAGUCAAGGAAAUUGUUGCAGUGGCAUGUGGUGUAAAAGGACCAUUUCACCAAGCAAUCCUCAGGGAAAUUGUGCUUUAAAGAAUUAAUUCGAAAUGAUUGAUCAAGAUCCGAAUCUGAAGCAAUGGGCUAGUAACGCAUCACUAGUGAGUGCGCUAUAAAUUCGGUGUUUAAAAUUUCUUUAUGAAUUAAACUUUGGAAAAUGAUUGAAUAUUAAAUAAAUCAUUUUAAGCCAAAACACA